rnacentral:rRNA from 1 species
CUCGUAGGCGGUUCAGUAAGUUGGGUGUGAAGGCUCCGGGCUCAACCCGGAGAGGCCACUCAAUACUGCUGUGACUAGAGUCCAGUAGAGGAGCGUGGAACUCCUGGUGUAGCGGUGAAAUGCGCAGAUAUCAGGAAGAACACCGGCAGCGAAGGCGGCGCUCUGGGCUGGUACUGACGCUGAGGAGCGAAAGCAUGGGUAGCAAACA